rnacentral:rRNA from 1 species
CAGUACCCUCAAGCAAAGAGACCUUUAGUUUGAUACCCCGAAACCAGGUGAGCUACCCCGAGACAGCCUAUGUAAUUUAGGGCUAACCCGUCUCUGUGGCAAAAGAGUGGGAAGAGCUCCGGGUAGAAGUGACAGACCUACCGAACCUGGUGAUAGCUGGUUGCCUGAGAGAUGGAUAGAAGUUCAGCCUCGCACCCCCCGAGUCAACAAACGUGUCAUCAAGAUGCUACGGGAGAAGUGCGAGAGUUAGUUGAAGGGGGUACAGCCCGUUUAACAAAGGAUACAACCUUCGCAGGAGGAUAAAGAUCAUAAUAUUUAAGACAUACUGUUCUAGUGG